GCCCACCUCGGCUUCCCAAAGUGCUAGGAUUACAGGCGUGAGCCACCGCGCCGGGCCAACUUUGGAUUUCUAAAAAUGUAAAUAGUUUAUACAUUUUGUAACCACUAGUAUAACAGAAGUAGAGCUUAUACCUUGCAAACCAGAGGAAGAAAGAAAGAGAUUAAAGAAAGUUACUAAUUCACUAGACAACAGGGAGGAAGGAAGCAUUAGGAAAAAACUGACGAAAAGAGCAAAAUAAAAAAAUAAAGCAGGAACCAACUCACAUCCUCCAUGGAAAAUCGUGGAAUGUGUAAGGUAACGUGCCAGCUAAAAAAGUUUGAUUUUUUUAAAAAACCUAGCUCUACGUUGUAAACAGUGUCACAUUUAAGACAUUUUAAGAACAGAAAUAUCACACAAGUAUUCACCAACAGAAAGCUGGCAUAGCUAGAUUAGUAUGUCAUGGGACUUUAAGAAAUAGAGCUUAAUGAGGAAGAAGCCCCCCAAAGACGAGAAACGUUUCUAUACGGGAACACAGCUGGUGACAAACGCACGCCAACAGAAUGGCCAUGGUGGG
rnacentral:lncRNA from 1 species